rnacentral:rRNA from 1 species
AUUGAACGCUGGCGGCAGGCCUAACACAUGCAAGUCGAACGGUAACAGAAAGCAGCUUGCUGCUUUGCUGACGAGUGGCGGACGGGUGAGUAAUGUCUGGGAAACUGCCUGAUGGAGGGGGAUAACUACUGGAAACGGUAGCUAAUACCGCAUAACGUCGCAAGACCAAAGAGGGGGACCUUCGGGCCUCUUGCCAUCGGAUGUGCCCAGAUGGGAUUAGCUUGUUGGUGGGGUAACGGCUCACCAAGGCGACGAUCCCUAGCUGGUCUGAGAGGAUGACCAGCCACACUGGAACUGAGACACGGUCCAGACUCCUACGGGAGGCAGCAGUGGGGAAUAUUGCACAAUGGGCGCAAGCCUGAUGCAGCCAUGCCGCGUGUAUGAAGAAGGCCUUCGGGUUGUAAAGUACUUUCAGCGGGGAGGAAGGGAGUAAAGUUAAUACCUUUGCUCAUUGACGUUACCCGCAGAAGAAGCACCGGCUAGCUCCGUG